CUACGGUCCUCACAAACGGAUGGCCAGCAUGCCUUGUGGGGCCGUAAGGGCUCCACUGCUGUGACAACCAUUAGCUUCAGCAGCCUAAAUGUUGCAGGAACCUUUAAUCUGAAUCUAGCUAGAUGAAAGCUGCUACACGUAUAACUAGCAAACUUUGAUAACAGUGUAGUUGUCUUCAAAAAUAGAUCAUCUUGGGAACCAAGGUCAAGAUGUGAUUGUAAGAAUUAGAGCCUUUCCUAAAAGUACUGAGGAAAACAAGAACACAAACUGAAAAACCUAUUGAUUCUUCCAUUUUACUACUGAUGACUGGCUGCAUCAAACUGAUCUGCUGGGAGCCAUCACAGAUAAAUCCACAAUAAAGGAAACACUCUGGGGACCGGCAGCAGAUACAACAGAAACCUUCCCAGAGGAGAGGAGAGAAGAGGUUGCUUUUCCCCACCACCACAUUCCUGGGCAGCAGCCACAUACCAGAGAGGCAAAUCACCCGCCACUGGUGCUCAGUGGUCAGAGUAAGUUUUCUAUCACUUUCGGAUUCAUGUAGUCUUUGAAGCCCUUCACUCAGGUGUACCCACAGGUCUGUACCUCCAAUCUUUCCUCACAUACACAGUCUUGUGAAAGAGGGAACAAUUUUGCCUUUAUGAGUGUUUUUGACCACAGCUUACCUUAACUGACUGCAGUGGAAAUUCUCUAGAUUUGCACCGCUGUGAACUAAACCAGGCUUGGGGGAUCUGUGUGUGUGGGUUAUAGACUCCUUAAUUGCCUGUGGGCAGCAUUGUCCUCUGACUCAGAAAUAUCUUUGCCUUGGGAAAAAAUAAUAUACCCCCUAAAAUUCUUGUUUGUCUCCGUUGACAGACACAAUCUCUUUAAUGUUGCCCUGCAUUUGUCUUAACACAAUUUAUUGGACAAACGGCAAAAAAGGCUGUUAGUUGUUUCCACUGAAAUUUGUGAGUGAUAAACACAUCUGUUAUACUCCUGUACAAUAACUGGGCACAUUUUCAAUUAAAUAGUCCCCUAAUUCAAAAGCAUCUCACCUGCUCUCAAUAUGACAGCAACAAAAACGUAGCUAUGUGCUUUGUUUCUGGCAUAGUUUCAGCUCUUCCACAUUACUUAAAUCAUGAGCAUAUAUUCCAGUUAGCUUAGGCUUCAGGCUUUAAAAGCUCAAAGUGAGUAAUGAAGGGAAAGCAAUCUGAUUAGCUGGUGGAGCUGACUAAAAGGCACCUUCAUUACGAAGGAGCUUAAAAAAGGAAUAAAACUAUAUAAAAUGGAUUAAAGGUAUAAUAAUAACGAUAGUAUCAAACAGCAUAACAACUGAAAUUAAUAUUUAAUAGAUGGUACAGGCAUGUCCAUGGCUUUAUAUUCUUCUGUUUUAAUGAUCUUAACCACAGCUUGAGGUCCUUUGUCUUGUCUCCUUCUACUGACAUCAGCUGGAAGAGACAGAGACGAAAACAAGGGUAAUUUCCCCAUGGUCAUUGCUUGGCACUAUUUCUGCUUUGCUCAGCCAUGAACUGAAGUUGAAAGGAUGAAGUGCUGUCAGUCAGACUGAUUCUUCCCUCUAACCUGUCUUACCUGGGUUAACCACUCAGCCAGUCACCAAGGAAACAUGUAGCUCCUUUGCCCAUCUUACAGCCACCCCACAGCUUCAUGUUGAGAACAUCACCAUAAUCUCAUUAGGACAUUGAAUUUACCAUUGAAGCUUGAAUUCCCCUAACAGGAGGGGAGUGGACUAAUGCAAUUAAACAAAUUAGUGUUUUGAGCCACUGCAUGGUAUCUGUACAAUACCAUGAGCAAAGAGUAGCUAGUUUUCUUCCUUUCUUA